UACGUAGGGGGGCAAGCGUUGUCCGGAUUUAUUGGGCGUAAAGAGCGUGUAGGCGGCUAGGUAGGUCCGUUGUGAAAACUCGAGGCUCAACCUCGAGACGCCGGUGGAAACCAUCUAGCUAGAGUCCGGAAGAGGAGAGUGGAAUUCCUGGUGUAGCGGUGAAAUGCGCAGAUAUCAGGAAGAACACCCGUGGCGAAGGCGGCUCUCUGGGACGUGACUGACGCUGAGACGCGAAAGCGUGGGGAGCGAACAGG
rnacentral:rRNA from 1 species